UAUGUCUCUAUCAAUGUUUGCCACUGACAGGAUCAGAUUAAUAUUUUAAGUGUCUGACAACAUUACGGAAAGG